AGAGCGAACGCUGGCGGCGUGCUUAACACAUGCAAGUCGAACGCGCAGCAUUCUGUAACAAUACAGGGUGUGGGCGCGUGGCGAACGGGUGCGUAACACGUGGAUAACCUUCCUUCAGGUGGGGAAUAACCCAGUGAAAAUUGGGCUAAUACCGCAUAACAAAACGAUGAGACAUCUUGUUGUUUUCAAAGGCGCAAGUCGCCAGAAGAGGGAUCCGCGGCCGAUUAGCUUGUUGGCGAGGUAAUGGCUCACCAAGGCAAUGAUCGGUAGCCGGACUGAGAGGUUGGCCGGCCACACUGGAACUGAGACACGGUCCAGACUCCUACGGGAGGCAGCAGUGGGGAAUCUUGCACAAUGGGCGAAAGCCUGAUGCAGCAACGCCGCGUGGGGAUGAAGCUUCUCGGAGUGUAAACCCCUUUCGACCCGGAAGAAGCCCGCAAGGGUUUGACGGUACGGGUAUAAGAAGCCCGGCUAACUACGUGCCAGCAGCCGC
rnacentral:rRNA from 1 species